CUCAACAACAAUUGAAACUACACUAAAAACUAAAAAGCGAAAUAGAAACACUAAGAGCCUAAAACUCCAGCUUCUCUCCAAAAACACAUAGAUUCACCAUAAACUUUCAACUCCACCAUCAUCUGUUACACGCUGUUCCUCGCACCUUCUUCUGCAAGCAAACCAUGUAACCAAGAAGGAUUACUUUGGGCCACAUAGGACUGAAGUCUCAUCUUCUUUGUCACGCUUCGAGCAAUCAAGAAAACACCUCAGUUAGCCUCUCUUGUCACCAUAUUCACCUUCCAAUCUGUAAGAUUACUCAGCACUUCAGUUUAUUCCAAACCAUACGCUCGAAAGGCUGGCCAGGCACGUGGUCUAUUAAUUGAUCCAACCAAUUCUGAAGCUUCUAACUCAAAAAUCAC
rnacentral:lncRNA from 1 species